UUUGUAUAAUGGGUCAGCGACUUAUAUUCAGUGGCGAGCUUAACCGAAUAGGGGAGGCGUAGCGAAAGCGAGUCUUAAUAGGGCGUUUAGUCGCUGGGUAUAGACCCGAAACCGGGCGAUCUAUCCAUGGGCAGGUUGAAGGUUAGGUAACACUGACUGGAGGACCGAACCGACUACCGUUGAAAAGUUAGCGGAUGACCUGUGGAUCGGAGUGAAAGGCUAAUCAAGCUCGGAGAUAGCUGGUUCUCCUCGAAAGCUAUUUAGGUAGCGCCUCAUGUAUCACUGUAGGGGGUAGAGCACUGUUUCGGCUAGGGGGUCAUCCCGACUUACCAAACCGAUGCAAACUCCGAAUACCUACAAGUGCCGAGCAUGGGAGACACACGGCGGGUGCUAACGUCCGUCGUGAAAAGGGAAACAACCCAGACCGUCAGCUAAGGUCCCAAAGUCAUGGUUAAGUGGGAAACGAUGUGGGAAGGCUUAGACAGCUAGGAGGUUGGCUUAGAAGCAGCCACCCUUUAAAGAAAGCGUAAUAGCUCACUAGUCGAGUCGGCCUGCGCGGAAGAUGUAACGGGGCUCAAACCAUGCACCGAAGCUACGGGUAUCACCUUUUGGUGAUGCGGUAGAGGAGCGUUCUGUAAGCCUGUGAAGGUGAGUUGAGAAGCUUGCUGGAGGUAUCAGAAGUGCGAAUGCUGACAUGAGUAACGACAAUGCGAGUGAAAAACUCGCACGCCGAAAGACCAAGGUUUCCUGCGCAACGUUAAUCGACGCAGGGUUAGUCGGUCCCUAAGGCGAGGCUGAAAAGCGUAGUCGAUGGAAAACAGGUUAAUAUUCCUGUACUUCCAGUUAUUGCGAUGGAGGGACGGAGAAGGUUAGGCCAGCCUGGCGUUGGUUGUCCAGGUUUAAGGUGGUAGGCUGGAAUCUUAGGCAAAUCCGGGAUUCUAAGGCCGAGAGCUGAUGACGAGUUGCCAUUAGGCGACGAAGUGGUUGAUACCAUGCUUCCAAGAAAAGCUCCUAAGCUUCAGAUAACUGGGAACCGUACCCCAAACCGACACAGGUGGUUAGGUAGAGAAUACCAAGGCGCUUGAGAGAACUCGGGUGAAGGAACUAGGCAAAAUGGCACCGUAACUUCGGGAGAAGGUGCGCCGGCGAGGGUCAAGGACUUGCUCCGUAAGCCCAUGCCGGUCGAAGAUACCAGGCCGCUGCGACUGUUUAUUAAAAACACAGCACUCUGCAAACACGAAAGUGGACGUAUAGGGUGUGACGCCUGCCCGGUGCCGGAAGGUUAAUUGAUGGGGUUAGCGCAAGCGAAGCUCUUGAUCGAAGCCCCGGUAAACGGCGGCCGUAACUAUAACGGUCCUAAGGUAGCGAAAUUCCUUGUCGGGUAAGUUCCGACCUGCACGAAUGGCGUAACGAUGGCGGCGCUGUCUCCACCCGAGACUCAGUGAAAUUGAAAUCGCUGUGAAGAUGCAGUGUAUCCGCGGCUAGACGGAAAGACCCCGUGAACCUUUACUAUAGCUUUGCACUGGACUUUGAAUUUGCUUGUGUAGGAUAGGUGGGAGGCUUUGAAGUGG
rnacentral:rRNA from 1 species